rnacentral:rRNA from 1 species
CCUACGGGGAGCAGCAGUGAGGAAUAUUGGUCAAUGGACGAGAGUCUGAACCAGCCAAGUAGCGUGAAGGAUGACUGCCCUAUGGGUUGUAAACUUCUUUUAUCAAGGAAUAAAACGAGGCACGUGUGCCUUUUUGCAUGUACUUUAUGAAUAAGGAUCGGCUAACUCCGUGCCAGCAGCCGCGGUAAUACGGAGGAUCCGAGCGUUAUCCGGAUUUAUUGGGUUUAAAGGGAGCGUAGAUGGGUUGUUAAGUCAGUUGUGAAAGUUUGCGGCUCAACCGUAAAAUUGCAAUUGAUACUGGCAGUCUUGAGUACAGUUGAGGUAAGCGGAAUUCGUGGUGUAGCGGUGAAAUGCUUAGAUAUCACGAAGAACCCCGAUUGCGAAGGCAGCUUACUAGACUGUGACUGACAUUGAUGCUCGAAAGUGUGGGUAUCGAACAGGAUUAGAUACCCCAGUAGUC